CUGAAGCGGUUGAGGCGGCUCUUUUGGUAAGGUGGGGACGCUUAUCCCUGUGUAGUAGUAAUGCAGAAUGGGAAAGCCAUGGAUUCAAGGAAUUUGCCCUCAGGGAAGUGAGGCAAGUUCUCAUUGUGCUAAAAAUUUUAAACUGUUUUCAUGGCUUUUUUGGCAAGAGGAAGUGAAAGAAACAAGCCAGACUGAGCAGAUGUGUCUAAAUGCGCCAAAGUGAAGCCCAUGUGGCUUUUGUUUAGGUUGGAUUCCUUGCUGUUUGUCAGCACACUAUCCAUGGCAUCAGUGCUUCAGAGAUUGAUGAACUAAUGGCUUUAGACAUAGACUACUAAAUUCCAGAUUUGAGGUAGCAGAGGGCUGUGGAAAUUUGGAACUUGAGCAGUACAUGCUACUGGGUAACGCAAAGUGAAAGAACUUUUUGGAAGGAUGGGCCUAUGAGAAGUGCAGAACUGGAAGAGGAACACUUUGCUCUACAAGUACUAUAAGAGAUUUCCCAGUAAUUUCUGAACUGUCAACAGGAUGAUAUUUGCCUUAUGUUUAGCAUGCCAUAUUUGGAUGGGCCUGUGUGCCAACUCAGUUUUCUGAUUUGCUUUUUCCUACUUAAAAUGUCUAUAUAGUAAAGCUCCAACCAUUUGGAGGAAACUUCCUAAAA